rnacentral:rRNA from 1 species
AUGAGCGUGAGCAGCACCAGUUCAUCCGCCUCUACAUGGAGCGCUGGCGAGGUAGGCGUGGAGCAGCGGAUGCCCGUAGCUCCUCUCUUUGCCGCGCGCCGAGCUCGCCCGCUAGCGUUGGCCGGUGCACGCACGCACGCGCCGAGGUGUGCAGUGAGUCAGUGUCUCAGUGACCAAGGGAGCGGCUGUAGUGCAGGUGCACGCACGCAUGCGUUGACUGAAGCUGCUAGCGUAGAGCACGCACGCGCGCCAACAGGGCAGCGGCGGCCGGAGCACCACGCCGAGGUUCGCAGUGACCAGGGGACGCCGCGCGUUGACUAG